rnacentral:rRNA from 1 species
GAUGAACGCUCGCUACAGGCUUAACACAUGCAAGUCGCGGGGCAGCAUGGGGGUUGCUUGCAAUCCCCGAUGGCGACCGGCGCACGGGUGAGUAACGCGUAUCCAACCUGCCCUUCACCACGGGAUAACCCGGCGAAAGUCGGACUAAUACCGUAUGUUGUCCAUUGACGGCAUCCGAUUUGGACGAAAGGUUUGGCGGUGAAGGAUGGGGAUGCGUUCGAUUAGCUGGACGGCGGGGUGACGGCCCACUGUGGCGACGAUCGGUAGGGGUUCUGAGAGGAAGGUCCCCCACACUGGAACUGAGACACGGUCCAGACUCCUACGGGAGGCAGCAGUGAGGAAUAUUGGUCAAUGGGCGUAAGCCUGAACCAGCCAAGUAGCGUGCAGGAUGACGGCCCUAUGGGUUGUAAACUGCUUUUAUGCGGGGAUAAAGUGGCCCACGUGUGGGUUUUUGCAGGUACCGCAUGAAUAAGGACCGGCUAAUUCCGUG